CGGCUCUGCACAGAGCGGAGGUUGGCCGAGACGGGAGCCCCAGGCACUCCCAGAGCCCGGGAGGCGGAGAGGAGCCGGGCUGGGGCCCCGAGACGGCGGUGAUUGACGGGGCGGACGCCCAAAGAGCAGAGGAGGAGGAGGACCCCGAAGGAGGGGGCUGGGUGGGGGCCCUCGAAGAAAAGAGGAGGACCGAAGUGGGGAAGGAAGGGAGUAGAAGGGAAGGCGGAGGACCGUUUAAGGGGGUGCCUUUCAGGAAAGGAAAAGAGGGGGACAGAAGGAGCCUUCAAGAGAAAAAGUGUGAGACACCCCUCCCUUUUUUUUUAAAUAAGAGGCGUCGCAACAGCCUCACCCAGGCUUCGCCAGGUGCUCCAGCUCCGGCUGGGUCACUGCGUCGCUCGGAAGGUCGCAGCUGACAGGCAGAGACACUAACCCAGGAGGAGGUCAGUGGGAUGGAGAGUUUGGAUUCUCUUAGGGGGCCUCUGAAAGGCUUGGCUUUUCUAGCUGACAACACCCCACCCCCAUGCAAGAAACCCGGGACCCGAGAUGUCUAUCCCCUAGGGAAAGGGGGAGGAGGUGGGGAGAGAAGUCAGAGAUUUGGCAGUGGCCGCAGCUGGACGCCUGAGAAUCAACUUCCCGGAGGAUCCCGCCUUUCCUUCCUUUCGCAGCAGGCUGCUUGCCCCGCGGCCGGUACCGCCCCCACUCGGCGCGAUCUGCUCCUCGCCAGGCGGGGACUCAGACUUAACCCCACGGGGCCCAGGACCCGAGAAACUCCCGGCAGUCUCGUGUGGCCUUUACGGAAGUUGAAUCUUGCAAGGGCGGCGACACAAAACAGGGGAGCCCGCAUAGACCCGCAGACUGCCCCGGGGAGCCCAGGGCAGCGUGUGUAGGGUAAUUGUCGCACUUCCCGGGGUGGGGGUGAGGUGCACAGAAGAGACUGGAUUUACCAGCUUCCUGUCUCCCUACUUCUGGGCUCGGGUUCCUGGUCUCUUCUGCCUGAGAACCCAGCGCUAAGUUCCGGCAAGAUUGGCCUUAGAAAGUGGGUAGGAGGAGCCCUGCUUUUUGUUUCUUUGUCAGAACUCCCCCAGAACAUACGAAGUGCUGGUCCUUUGGAAAAAUCCAAGCAAUAGAAGGUUAGGGGUGCACUGGAGGGGUGGGGUCAGGGACAUCCCUGAAGUUUCCAGAGUUUGAAAGGCCCACGGCUUAUUUCUUGGCAAGGCUUGUCCUUUGGGCAUCCAUUCCGCCCUUUCCCACCCAGCUGCAAGCUCCUAGUGACAUUCAAUGCCAAGAUCCAAGGAGGCACAGACCAUGCUAAAACCUCUAGACCUCGUUUUGUUAACAACCCUGUCAGCUUUCUAAGGCGAUGGAGAGGCAGAUAUUGAAAAUGGAGUCCCGAGCCUAAGCGUUGGUUUCUGGUUGCUGGUUGUUUAUGGGUAAGGUACAUAUUUAUUUAUUUAAGGAUCCAGCAUCAUUUCCCAAACUUCCCCUCUGCUCCAGAAUGCCACAAGUCUUUCUGUGAUGAUGUAAGCAUGGGAGAGAUGAGCACUGUGGCUUUCCCUAAGACUUUAGCUCUGGGAGCCCUGUCCUUUAUCUUGAGUUGAAAACAGAAGACUGCCUAAGUUGGUGCUAAGCCAGCACCUGAACAAGUUACUGCAGAAAUCCAGAUGUCAUCUUUGUGGACUUCCUCUGUGGGUAGGGCAGACUCUAGUGUGUUCAGGCUGCCCUGUUUGACAUGGAUGCCCUUUAGUGAGCUCUGAGGAUUCCAGGGGACCUGGGAAAUAUAUUACCCAGACUGCCCGGAGGUUCUAGAGCACAGCUUGCUGCUAAGAGUGACCAGAGUUUAAAGGAUUCAGCCGACCAGAAGAUCCCAGCUCUGGUCACAGCCACCACAGUUUGUUUGUUUUGUUUUUGUUUGAUAAAAGAAGGCCAGAGAAGGAAAGACAUCCAUUGGUUGGGUGCUAGACCAGUUAGUCACUUCCUGGUGUAAGACUCUGGGCCCAUUUCCCGGUUAGCUGGGGCCUCAGUGCUCUCCCCAGCCCCUCUCAGUGCUGGCCUGCAGUAGGUUUGAGAGUAUUAACAUCACAAAGAUGAUCUCUCAUGUCAUCAAACCUGCCCCUCCAUGAGCCUUUGAGGCUUUAAGUUGAUGGACUGGGUCCUGCCAAUGCUGACAGUAGGCAGAUUUUCUGAAUCCCAGAGCUCCACAAUUCUGGACAUCCCCGUGCUGCCUCCCUUGUGGUCCCCAGGCCACCAAUCCUGCCUAGGGCCUCCAGGCAGCACUCAGCAGCAGGCAGAGCAGAGCAGAGCAGAGCAGAGCAGAGCAGAGCAGAGCAGAGCAGAGCAGAGCAGAGCAGAGCAGAGCAGAGGAGGGACCUGCCACCCAGGGUGCCCGAUGAAAAGUCAUUACCCAGCAAGCAUAGACAAACUGUAGCCCCGUUACCCAAAGCGGGAGUGUGAUAUGAUACUACCUAUCCCUUCCUUCCUCUGUCACAAACCAGUUCUAGCAGGUUUGGGCCAGAACCUCUUGGCAGCAGGGGGCCGGCUGGAUGCCUGCCCUAAAAAGGUUAGAAUCUCAGCUAGGGUCCCUUCACACACAGCAGUCUCUGGCCCCUCCUUCCCAGAAUUUGCACCAGGACAGAGCAUAGGCUGUCUGGGUAGGGAUUUGAUAGACAGCAGCGUGACACUCAGACAAGCUCUGCACUCCGUUCCAGCGCAUUGAGCAGCUGCUUAAGAGGCCUGGAGUGCCAAGUGCUUUGGGUCUCUACUUGACCCCAGCUUUCAGCCUUGUGCAUUUCCCUCCACCUAGCCUUACACCCCCACAACCACUUGCAUUAGAAGUCCAGUAUAGGCAGAGUACUUUAUGGCCAGGAUGGCGGAAACUUUUGCAAACGUUUGGGAAUUUGCGUUUUUAUUGAAAUGUCUCCUUGCGCUCCGAGCUGCUCUACAAAGUUCCCUAGGAGCAUCGGACUUUCUGGAAGGAAGUAUUGGGUGCUCCCCAUGAGCCCACACCCGCAGGAUUUCUUUGCCCUAGUAUUUUGGGCAGGAAUGGUCUAAGGGCUUUGUGCCUGGAGAUUAGCAGGAACUGGUAGGAUGGAUCCUAAAGGCCACCACGGACUGCACCCAUUGACCGGAGGACAUCUGGCACACCGCAAUUCUGUGAGGUCCAUAGGUGACCCAAGGAAUUUCUCGGCUUGGGUUGGGGCCAUUCGAAGUGAAUCGGAAAAAAAAAAAGGACUUGCUGCCUAUAUCCAAGGCCAGUGGACCAACAGACCUUCGCUCUGGACAAACCUUGUGACUCAAUAAAGAAAAAAGGGGAGUGGGUUCUACGUGCGAAACCAGAGAAGCAGAGCCUGUGCCCUGUGCUUAACCAGUCUUUGCCCAACCUAUAAAGACUACAGAAAUCUCCCGCACUGACUCCGGCUCUGCCGCUCGCUGCUUGAUCUAUGAUGCUCUGCACCCGACGCUUAGAGAUGGGACGUCCGGGCUUCUGCAGGUCAGAGUGCUGCGUUGGACAUUGACUUUUGUUCUUUCUCCGCCACCAACUCUUCCCAGUCUUCUUGGGCCUGAGCAGUGCGUUUCGUUGAAUGCGGGCCAGCCGUAGAAACUGGCUUGCUCUGCGUCCCUCUGCGCCUCACCACCUGCCUACCUAAGGCAGCCGCCAGGUCUGCGGUGUUGCUGCAAGUGCUCCGAGCAUUUGCAAAAUCUGACACCCCGCGUUUUUCUGUGUUGCUCAACGUGCGAGACCGCAUCAUGCGCUGGUUUACAGCUUGUUCCAGUUCUCAGAGCGGUUCCCAGAACACCCCGAGCCCGGGCAAGUUUGCAGGGCCCUGGACUCCGUGAAAAGUCACUCUGGAAAGGGCUUAAAUCGUGUUGUCGCCUGUGACGCACGUGGCUGUGACUGUAACAGGCUCUAUGGAUCAGAGCAGCAGGGAUCCCAGGGCGUCCUCUCUGAUCUGCGAGCCUUUAGCCUGUGGCCCACGAGGCAGUCUGGAGGACUGACUUUAGAAAACGGUUUGGGGGAAGCGGCCACACCCGGGAUCUUGUGCAAACGAAAAGAGAGAGCUCCAGGCUCGAAGAGCGUUUGGAGGCACUCAAAGCAGCUGAUCCGCCUGGGAGGUGCCAGCAGUAGGCGACGUUUCAGGUGACUACCAAGGCCUGGCUACCUUCCUGCGACGACGGGCCCGGUGACCUCCUGCGGUCGCCGCUCAGGCCUGGUGAGCGUUCGGAGGUAUCUGCAACCUGUGAGGGGCCUCUUUGGAUGGAGGUGGGGGACGAGGGUGCAGGGGCCCGGCAUCCGGCGAGAGGCUGGUUCAUGGAAUUUGCAGGAAACUGCUGAAAUCGAACCCCCGGGUGGUUUUUCCGCGGGACAGUAGAGUGACUGUGCGUUCCUGGGUAGUCUGUUGUGGACACUUUAGGCGUGUCAAGUCCCCAAGUUCAGGUCUAAGGGUGGAUCUACUCAGUUUCCCCUACGCUUCUAGAGGAGGAAGAAGUGCCUUGUGCCCUGACGGAUCUCAAGCUCCUCUCACGCUGACCUCAUAAUAUUGCCCCGUCUAACUGCUGGCAGAGAAACAAUACAUGUCAUGAAUGUGAACCAGGCAUAAUGACAAUCAAAUGCUUUAGACCGGGAGACGGCAUGACGUCAGACGUGGGUUGGAAAAGGCUGCCCGUUCUUCUGUGCGAAUCACUCACCUGUGGCGUCUUGAAUCACUGAGAAAAGUUUGAUGACCCUAGACUGUCAUCUCAUAAGGAAGCCCAACCUACAACCACAUGUAGGUCACUGGCUGACAGCCCCCAGAAGUCUCAGCUGGCACCAACACCAGCCACUAGAUGACUCUGUCCUCCAGUGAGGGCCUCAGGCAUCGUUCAGCAAUGUCAGAGUAUAAUAUCCUCACUGGGCUGUUGGGAGGAAGACAUAAAAUAACGCACAAAGAAGGCCUUUGACAAGGUUGCAUAAAGGACCUACAGUCUCAAAAGAUGGGCCAGAACAAAACUUCCCUUUCUGAAGUCAGGGAGCUGUAUUGCAGCAGGAAGACAGGUAAGCGCGAACCUUACUCUUUGACCCUAGACUUUCUCCGGGCAGUAGGUACAGUGACUUCCACCCCUCCCAGAAGGACCCUCCUACACAAUGUGACCCUCAGUGCUUCCCACUGGAGCUUCUCAGAGGACUGUGAAGAGUGGAUAAAAAUCUUGAGAGAAUGCGUAUUGUUGGGGGCCAAUGACCCCGCGGCCUUAGACCCGUGAGACUGAAAAGGCCUUUCUCUGAUCUAUGUAUGAACGCUAGCAGCAUCCACUUUCUGGAUGACCUUGCCCCAGAUUGCUCCCCUGCAGAGCGCCCCCUGCUGAGCGCCCCCUGCAGAGCGCCCCCUGCGGAGCUUAGCUUAAACCCACUGUACAUAAGAAUAAACGGACUGAACUUCUGGACUCCCGUUGCUGGCCCAGCUCCUCAGAACACAAAAUCUACCUGAGCUCAGCUUUUCUGUACAUGUGUCUACCAUUUCUUCAUUCCCUGUCUCCACAGUCAGAUCAAUCCCAAAGCCAGGCAUGCAGGUCUCAGCAGAGAAGGUGCUGUCUUCUACAACCCGGGAGCAGCACCAGCCAUGAGCAUGUCCACCAUGGUGGCAGCUACUCUGCAAGCAGUGGUUCUCAACCUGCAGGUUUCCGCCCUUAGAGGGUAGAAUGGUCCUUUCACAGCCCAAUGGUCGCCCAAGACCAUUGGAAAUCACAGAGAUUUACAUUCUGAUUCUUAAAGGUAGCAACAUUACAGCUAUGAAGUAGAGACGAAAAUAAUUUUAUGCUUUGUGGUCAGCACAACAUGAGGAAUUCUGUUAAAGGGUCGCAGUAUUAGGAAGGCUGAGAACCACUGCUCUAAGGUGUCCAGAUAGAUGUUUUUUGCUCAAGGUGUCUUGGUACAUGCGAAUUUCAUAGAUGAAAAGACAUUCCAUGGAAGUGCAUUGUCCCUGCAGGUCCCUGAUGGAUGCUAAAGUCAGGAUGCAGCUCAUGGCCUGUAUCUUGGUAGUGCCUUGUUUCAUGCCUGCCUUCCUUCCUACUGCACUGCUGCAUAACCAGGGCCGCUGAGGUUGCUUUCUUUGAUUUAGAGACAGAGCAGAUGUUUACAGAAAGUCACUGUGCACUGAUGCACAGUUGAUGGAAUUGCACUGACAGAGAAAGUUAAGACGACCAUAGUGGUAAGAAUGUAAUAAAAUGGUCUAUUUUAAACAGACAUCAAUAAAUUGAACCCCAACAGCUCUGCAGGUUCACAGAUAUUUUUUCCUGGAAUCCCACUGUGGCUUUUCCAUGAGUUUUGUGAAAUUCAUGAGAGUAGAAAUGUAAGGAGUAGGGUGGCAUCGCACACCUACCUUGCCUGAGAGAGGGAUAACAGGACAAUUAAUACUAAGCAUUUUCCUCAUAAAGCUUUGCAGGCAAAUAACUCAAAACAGAGGUUUGCUGCAAGAAGCUGGGAAAUGUGGCCUUAGAAAUACCGUUCAUAUCUAAUUGGUUUAAGGGACAGCCUCAAAUACAAUGCGAAUAAAAAAAAAUCCACCCCACACAUGUGGUGGGGCUUAGAGCAUCUGGGACUGUUUAAAUUGCUCUUGUUUUCAAGAUCAAGGGUAUUAUUGAUAAAAACAAAAAAUCUCUGUAAUCACUAAAUUUAAUCCAACUAGCGCUGAUGAGAGAGCAUUGUAAACAUGAAACAUGACUUGGGAACUCCAUCUCACAUGUUUCCUUCAUUGGCAAAGGCAAGUUUUCAGGCUUUUGUAUUAGAGAACUCUGCAGGACCAGGAAGGAGGCAGGCAGGGCUCAGCGGCUGAACAGCUGCCAGAGAGAGCAGCUGAGCAGCUUGACCUCCUGCAGCCCAGAGAGGGGAGAGAAGCCUGCGUGCCUGGGUGAGGACAAAAGUGAGAAUCACUGGAAGGGAAAAAUCCAUCCCUGGGCAGAAACCUCACUCACCAGUGAACACACAGGUGCUCACCCUGGUUUAAGUCGCACGUGCGAAGGACCGUACCCCACCCAUUAUUCACAAUGUAGUUAUUGUGGUGAGUGAGAGAACUUGUUAAUGUUAACCGAGUUAUGAUUGGGGAGCAUCAAGCCAAUGAAGGCACCCCCACCCCUGUGUCAUGUGUGUUAUAUAGGAGCAUGCAUCUGUGCUUGUGGGGACAGAGGCUUGGGAGGAGAGAGAGUUCAUAAGCGAACUGUCUUGAGACAUUCCUAUUGUCAUUAGAGUUGGCCCCGGAGGGCAGACCUGCACUUCUGAUGGAGACCCCCAAGGUCAGAGGUCCGAGCCAGUUCUGUUGGGCAGAGCUGACGAGAUGCACUACGGUCGGUUAGAAAAUAAAAGAAGAAAGCAGAGAAACAAAGUGCUACCUACCAGAUCUUUGCGGGAACCGUGGGCAAGCAGACCUGGAUCCUCCCUUCUGCUUGUAUGUUCGUUGCAGUGAGGCAUUGGUCUGGUUCAAAGCCUCUGCCUUCUGAUACAUCAUCGAUACUGAAUUCUCGCUGGGACUCCUCUCAGAUAUCCUGUUGUUGCUCUGUGUCAUGGAGAUCCUGUGGGUUUGGAUUUUCAGGACUUUCAAAUACUCCACCAGUUCAUAGAUGGGGUAAGGUUUUGGUGUGGACCGACUCAAAGCCCUGGAUCUGGGCCUGGGUGGUAUCUGAGUUGGUCAGCCUACCAGAUCUCCGCAUCCACACCACCCUGGCUAGCAAGGGGCCAGCUCUCCUGCUCUCAUGCCCUUGGAGCUGCCAAUCUGCACCACCAGAGCCAUCUCUACUGCGCUGCUAAGGACUGCAUAUGGAAGUCAGAACUUGCAAGAAUUGGUCCUCUCCUUACACCUAUGAAAUCAUCAGGAUUGGAAGCAGUUCUCUUUACCAGCUAAACUAUCACAUCAGCCAAUUGUCUUGAGUGCCGAGCUGGCAAUGAAACAGGUCCUCUUUUGGCGACUAGCCCGGCGUGGCAGUGUGGCUGCUUCGUACCCUUCACAGUUAUUCUGAGAAUGGUCCACUCCAGCUGCCGAGAGCUCUGAACCCUGAUUUCUGCUCUGGGAGACUUUGCUCCAUUCAGGACUGCUCCAGACAAACUGUACUUACUUUGGAAGAGUUCUCUUCAGCCGAGCCAUUCUUGGUGAACUCUUAAUGAUGGUGACAGAUUGAGGGGGCAGAAGGACACUUCCCCUGUGACUCCACUGUGGCCUCAGGGACAUUGGAAUGAUGGUGCCAAUCAUCAGCUUACAUUAGCAUGCUGUGCUCCUGACACACCCACUCUGGUUCCAGAGGGAGAGUUCAUGAAGGCAAGAAGACACAGAGCAGGAAACGUGAGAGGCCACACUGUCUUGAAGAGAGAAAACUGGAAGCCUGAGGCUUGAACUCUGAAUGCUCAACCCAAGCCUCCAGCGAGGUCUCCACCAACCUCUUAAAGAGCCUAUCAGUCAGGACCAAGCGAUCAAAUACUCCAGACUAUGGGGAACAUUUCUCAUGCAAAUCACUUUGCUUCACGAGUAUUUGUAUCUCCUGAACCGUCUUCCUAGGCCAAAAGUCAGUGAUUCUAACAGAAAUGAGCUUCAUAUUUCUGCAAUAUUACCUAUGCUAUUGUCAAGGAAGCUUGCACACAUCAGAAAUGUUACCUCAUAGUAAACCUAGUGGGGUUGGGACCCUGCUCAGCCAGAUCUCCUGGGGUCAAGGCUGAUGCCAAGGGAUUUCCAAGGGCAUUUAUUUCAUGAAGCCUUUCCUUGGUUUCAGCUUCCCUCUGUCUUUGUUUUUUUUUUUUUGUUUUGUUUUGUUUUUUGUUUUUUGUUUUUUGUCUUUUUAUUUCUGUGGCCAUCUCAGAUCUUGCUAGUUUUAGCCUGGUCUGGUUAUAAGAGAAUCCUUGCCUGUAAACAUUGUUGCCUUGAGGCCUAAUCUAGUGUUUAUGACAAACACUGUUUUGAGCAUAUAAAGAUGGCGACAGAAGAAACUGCACACAUGCUUUUAAUGUGUGUUGGGCUAAGGGCCCGUGGCUGCAUCCCUCUUCGUCACCUGUGUCUGUCUCUUGUGUGUCUCAGUUUCAUUUCGUGUCUAUUGCGAACUGCCAUGAAACGGGGCGGAAAGCAAAGCCUUGAAACUUGGUGGAAAGGUUCUAACAGCUUGCAUUCAUUUGUAAACAGCAAUAAGCAAAUGCAUGGUGGAAUGGGCCCAUACUCACUCACACACACUCUUCACUAACCUUUCCAGUACGGCAGAUGUGGCUUGGCUCUGGCAGCCCACAGGUGAAUUCGCAUCCAUGUUUCUUGCUUUUCGGAUCCACUGGAGUUAGACCACAGCGGCAGUGCAGGCUUUGUGAUUUGACCAUACCAGACCAGAGUUUUUAAGCUAAAUUCAGCCAAUUACAACUGGGGCGUUCCACACAUAACUUCAUGGGCUCUCUGUAUCAGUCGCACGCACACAAGCUCUCUAUGGAUUGGUUAUCUGGGGCCGAGGGCAAGGUCUGUGGAAUCAUCCCAACUCAUGCUUGGGCAGCAGGCAUGAGUUGUUCUUAUCAUUCACACUCACUCUGGAGCUAUGCCUCGAGUGCAGCCACUGUGGCGGCUUUACAGCAUGGGGAAAAUGCCUUCUGAGGCCAUGUGUUCUUUACAACCUCACAGGCUUUCUGACCUCGCCUUUUUGAUCAUGACAGCCUUCGCGUGAGAUUUUGUGAUUCAAAUGCUUUGACAAGAAAAUCUGCUGCACACAUCUUAUAUUUAAGACAGUCUUCUCUUGAUUCGGAUGUCUUCAUCUGGCCCAAUCUGUCUUCUGGGGAGGUUCAUGCAGUCUUCUACGGCUGGGGAAAGAGCCAUCUAGUCCUUGCCACUGUGCUGGGAACCCAAUGUAGGAAUGGUCAAGAGAAAGCACCUCUUAGCUGCAACCCCAGGCCUCUCCUACACCUCCAGUUCCCACAUACACACUCUCACCAGACAAGAGCACGUCCUAACAGGGCAAGUAUGCAGAUGGAGAAGUUGCAAGGAAACGAGCAGAUGAAACAGUCUUGAUUCUAAUGUGAAGAAAUGCUGUGAUGUUUACAAGUGGGAUCACCAGUGUCCCCUAGGAAGAUCACAGAGAGAGAAAGAAGAUGGAACUAGCAGAGAAUUUGAUAUCCAGCCAAUUCAGAGGGUAAGAGGAGCCAGGCCCUCGGGAUGCUGAGAUGAGAACCUAAUAAAACGGCAAUUGAUGCAAUCAAGAGCAACUAUAGGGUUGGAUGUCAGAACGAAUUUGAAAAGGCUGGGUAUUGACUCUCCAAGGCUGGCACACGGCGGGCCCUACUCUUUCUAUUUGCAAAUUCAAGUGAAUUUCAUGGAUUGCCAAUAAAUUUAUACUUUCUGAA